CGUACAUGACAGUAAGGGUUCUGCUGAUCCCAAAGAGAAUGAGGUUCAUGUCAGAGGACAUGCAAAGUCAUCACAAAUAAAAUUCAUGUUUGUGUUUCCAGCUUAAUUGCUCAGGGUUAAAAGGAAAAUAAUAGAAAUGAGGCUGUGUUUGCAUAAAGCGUGAAACUUUGUCCUGGGAACUUUUGUCCUCCUAAUAAUUCCCAGCAAUGUGGACAUUAGAAGGUUACGGACUGUGUGGCAUUUUCACAGAAAGAGCAAAGGGAACCAAUUUAGAAGGGUACAUGAAAAUGCAGUAGCAAACAUUUGGAGGGUAAAGAAGAAAGACACCACAUGUGCUGUGCCCUCCUACAUCUGCUCCACCUCCCUUGCCAUGAAAGCUGACUCACUUCAGGUGAUCUCCUUCCUCGAUUGUCUCAAUCUGAGAAAGAAGAGGUGUGUGAAGAAGGGUCAUCAACUGUUUAAAUGACAUCCUCUCCACUUCCGGGGGAGAAAACUGACCCACAGUAUGCUAUGUACCACGAAGAAUCACAACAAUUUUUAGGAAAAUAUGGGGUUAUGUAAGUCAAUUAUCUUUCACUUGCAAUCAAUGA
ensembl:lincRNA